GUGGGGAAUCUUGCGCAAUGGGCGAAAGCCUGACGCAGCCAUGCCGCGUGAAUGAUGAAGGUCUUAGGAUUGUAAAAUUCUUUCACCGGGGACGAUAAUGACGGUACCCGGAGAAGAAGCUCCGGCUAACUUCGUGCCAGCAGCCGCGGUAAUACGAAGGGGGCUAGCGUUGCUCGGAAUUACUGGGCGUAAAGGGCGCGUAGGCGGACAGCUUAGUCAGAGGUGAAAGCCCAGGGCUCAACCUUGGAAUUGCCUUUGAUACUGGCUGUCUUGAGUUUGGGAGAGGUGAGUGGAACUCCGAGUGUAGAGGUAAAUUCGUAGAUAUUCGGAAGAACACCAGUGGCGAAGGCGACUCACUGGCCCAAUACUGACGCUGAGGCGCGAAAGCGUGGGGAGCAAACAGGAUUAGAUACCCGUGUAGUCC
rnacentral:rRNA from 1 species